CUAGAACGGAGGUAAACCUGGAGAGUGUGAUAAUGUCGAAAAGAUUUUUUCAUUUUCACGUUCAAAAAGAGUCUUAGCAAAUUUUGUUGAAAACAAAUCAUCUUAACAUUAGCGCUCUAGAAACUCUUCAGUGAAUUUUAGUGGGAUUUCCAUACGAGACUGUAUACCUCUGUUUUUUAAAAUGUACCUACAGUGCAUCGCAUCCUCCAUUUAAAUUGGAUCAUUGAGUUAAGGCCGUUAAGUUCGUGAAGGUUGGUCGUCAGUAUAAAAGUGACUUUCACGGAACAUAACUUUACGAAAAAAGUAGACCAAACUAUACCGUUUCUACCUUCAAAUGUUAUAAAUUCACGAAAAAGGAACAAUACAAAAUAACAACAAAACUUUUCGAAAAAUUAAAUAGUUCCACAAUAGUUAACGAAAAAAUUUUAAUAUUCGAACGUGACUCGAAACCUAAUUUCAAUAAUAACAAUACAGUAAUAUGAAGUUUUUGGUACGGUACGCACUUUUUAACUUAACCUGCAUGUCAUCUACAACAUAACACGUGUCAAGGAAGUUCAUCGUUGAUUUUCUGUUUCUUAAGAGUUGACAUUUUGUUUGUAGGGGUUAAGAAAUGAAUUGUAAUUCAAGAGCUUUGUCCUAUAAUGCUAAGGGUCUGAAGGUAAUUGGAAAAUGGAUCUAUUCAGUGCAUAAAAGGAUACAAAAACAUGUGUAAAAACAACAUGUAAAAAACAAAUGAUAUACGGUUCUGGAGCAGGGAUGUUCGCAAAAAAAGGUAGAGACCCGGACACUUUUUUGACGACCGACCGAUGACGUUUCACUGUCAGAUGUUGAUGUUCGCUGGGGUUUCAAUGGCCUACAUGAGUCGAAACACUACGCUAUGCUAAGUGUCUUUGUGAAACUGUCGAGCUGAUUAGAAGAUGGAAAUCCAGGCCAAUUGUAAUAGGAUUUAUCGAGACUCCUAUGUGAGAAUGCAAGUACAGCUUGAAAACAUGCCAAUGUGAAGAGAAUUGCCAUACAUUUUAGUACUCAUAAGCAUUUUUGGAAUGAGGGAUGAGUACAAAAAAGUGUGAAAUUUGAUGUAACAAAGUA